CCUGGCGGCGAGCGGCGAACGGGUGAGUAAUAGAUAGGAACGUAUCCGGGAGUGGGGGAUAACUAGCCGAAAGGUUAGCUAAUACCGCAUAUUCUCUCAGGAGGAAAGCGGGGGACCAGUAAUGGCCUCGCGCUCGCGGAGUGGCCUAUCUCCGAUUAGCUAGUUGGUGAGGUAAAGGCUCACCAAGGCGACGAUCGGUAGCUGGUCUGAGAGGAUGAUCAGCCACACUGGGACUGAGACACGGCCCAGACUCCUACGGGAGGCAGCAGUGGGGAAUUUUGGACAAUGGGGGCAACCCUGAUCCAGCCAUGCCGCGUGCGGGAAGAAGGCCUUCGGGUUGUAAACCGCUUUUAUUCGGGAAGAAGGAGUAGGGGCUAAUACCCUCUAUGACGGACGGUACUGGAUGAAUAAGCACCGGCUAACUACGUGCCAGCAGCCGCGGUAAUACGUAGGGUGCGAGCGUUAAUCGGAAUUACUGGGCGUAAAGCGUGCGCAGGCGGUUCGAGAAGUCAGCUGUGAAAGCCCCGGGCUUAACCU
rnacentral:rRNA from 1 species